UACGUAGGGCAGCAAGCGUUGUUCGGAGUUGACUGGGCGUAAAGGGUGUGUAGGCUGGUUGGAUAGAGUGGUAGUGGAAUCCUCCCGGCUUAACUGGGAAGGGUGCGCUACAGACUGUCGUGACUAGGAAGUCGUGGGAUGGGUAAGUGGAAAUUCCUGGUGUAGCGGUGAAAGUGCGUAGAUAGUCGAGGAGGAACACCGGUUGGUGUAGACGGCUU
rnacentral:rRNA from 1 species